AAAAACAACGUCCCUUUCUUUAAAGAAGAGCUCUUUGGAGCCAGUCCACCAUGACUUUGUCUUGGGUUAAGGAGCUUAUUCUUUUUCUUUAACCCAAGACAAAGACUUCCCUGAAUGAGUCACCCCACACCCCAAUGUCGUUCUUACUGGAUGUCUGAAGUAUGAAAGAGGAUUGAGUUUUUUAUUUUUAACAUACCCAUUUCCUUUGGCUGCUCUUCCUUAUCUUUGGCCUGCAAAAGGAGAAACAACCAAGAAAUGCUGAAAGCAGGAAAAUCUGCUGCAUUCCAAAGUCUUGGGGAAUGGAAGAAUCAGUGACAUGGUAAUGGGUGGACUGUUCACCUGCUCCUUGACAACAAUUCCUGCAUUUUCACCUAUGAAGCUACUAACAAGAAGAAAACGGAUAAAGUUCCAGGAAAUUUGUCUCAUGAGGAUUAGACAUGCUGCCAUCUGCAAUACAGACAUUUCUAUCAGCGGAUAUGGCCAGGAAAACCUGCUGUUUAGCUAUUUUUCAGGCCAGGACUCGGAGCAAGCUCAGGGGAGUCUGCUGAGCACAGGCCACAGUGGAGCCAUUCAAGGAGCACUGUCCCGCAGUGAUAUGACAUCAACAGGAACUUACCAGGAGAAU
rnacentral:lncRNA from 1 species